GACAGUGUAGCAUAGUGGUUUGAGUGUUGGGACCACAACUCUGGAGACAAGGGUUCAAUUCCCUGCUUUGCCA